GAUGAACGCUGGCGGCGUGCCUAAUACAUGCAAGUCGAGCGAACAGACGAGGAGCUUGCUCCUCUGACGUUAGCGGCGGACGGGUGAGUAACACGUGGAUAACCUACCUAUAAGACUGGGAUAACUUCGGGAAACCGGAGCUAAUACCGGAUAAUAUAUUGAACCGCAUGGUUCAAUAGUGAAAGACGGUUUUGCUGUCACUUAUAGAUGGAUCCGCGCCGCAUUAGCUAGUUGGUAAGGUAACGGCUUACCAAGGCGACGAUGCGUAGCCGACCUGAGAGGGUGAUCGGCCACACUGGAACUGAGACACGGUCCAGACUCCUACGGGAGGCAGCAGUAGGGAAUCUUCCGCAAUGGGCGAAAGCUUGACGGAGCAACGCCGCGUGAGUGAUGAAGGUCUUCGGAUCGGAAAACUCUGUUAUUAGGGAAGAACAAAUGUGUAAGUAACUAUGCACGUCUUGAGGGUACCUAAUCAGAAAGCCACGGCUAACUACGUG
rnacentral:rRNA from 1 species